rnacentral:rRNA from 1 species
GACGAACGCUGGCGGCGCGCUUAACACAUGCAAGUCGAACGGAAAGGCCUGCUUUCCCUUGUGGAUUGCGGGUACUCGAGUGGCGAACGGGUGAGUAACACGUGAGUGAUCUGCCCCCAACUUGGGUAUAAGCCUGGGAAACUGGGUCUAAUUCCCGAUAGGACUGCAGGGUGGUGCCUGUGGUGGAAAACGAUUUUCUAGUGGUUGGGGAUGAGCUCGCGGCCUAUCAGCUUGUUGGUGGGGUAAUGGCCUACCAAGGCGGCGACGGGUAGCCGGCCUGGGAGGGUGGACGGCCACAUUGGGACUGAGAUACGGCCCAGACUCCUACGGGAGGCAGCAGUGGGGAAUAUUGCACAAUGGGCGGAAGCCUGAUGCAGCGACGCCGCGUGGGGGAUGACGGCCUUCGGGUUGUAAACUCCUUCCGACCGCGAGGAAGCCACCUGGUUGGAAGGGUGGUGACGGUAGUGGUAGAAGAAGCACCGGCUAACUACGUG